CUACCCGUCUCCUUCCCUCUUUUUCUUCCACCCGACCUCCUUUGUUCCAGCUCCCUCUAUCCUUCUCUGUCUCUCCAUCCCUCCAUGGAUCGUCAAUCUAGUAAACUCCUACUCAGUUUGUAAAGACAGUCUCUGCUCUCAAGAUGUCUAGCUGGGAAGUCAGUCUUAACAUACAUGUUAAAAACCCCAUGUGACAGGGAGAGUAAUUAACAGCUCAGAAUAGUCAGGGCUCCUCAGAGGGACUAGGAAAAGUCAUCUCAUAGAAGGAGCCACUCUACAGGAGAGAGAAGAGGUACCCAGUGGAGUGAGCCCUGCAGAGGCAAAAAGGUCGCUCCAGGGCACCAGGACAAAUAAGAACCUUUGGGACUACUCUGAACAACAGCUCCUGUGUCUCAAGAUGGCAUGACCUCAGGUUUCAAGGUCACAAGGCCAUCUCCUCCUUGUCCCUAGUUCCUUCCUCUCUCAGAAGAAACUUGUUCUAAGUAAGGCAAUCUGGCUAGAAUCAGGCAUAAGCUUAAGAGCACCCGGGGCCAGUUCUCCCUAACUCAAGCCUUGUCUUGUCUUUUUGCUUCUGGUUGCCACCACGGGCAAUAAAAAAUGAUUGAACUCAGUGA